rnacentral:rRNA from 1 species
AUUCCGGUUGAUCCUGCCGGAGGUCAUUGCUAUUGGGGUCCGAUUUAGCCAUGCUAGUUGCACGAGUUUAGACUCGUGGCGAAAAGCUCAGUAACACGUGGUCAAACUACCCUACGAAGACCCAUAACCUCGGGAAACUGAGGCUAAUAGGUCAUAGGAGAGUCACGCUGGAAUGCCGACUCUCCCAAACGCUCAGGCGUCGUAGGAUGUGGCUGCGGCCGAUUAGGUAGACGGUGGGGUAACGGCCCACCGUGCCGAUAAUCGGUACGGGUUGUGAGAGCAAGAGCCCGGAGACGGAAUCUGAGACAAGAUUCCGGGCCCUACGGGGCGCAGCAGGCGCGAAACCUUUACACUGCACGCAAGUGCGAUAAGGGGACCCCAAGUGCGAGGGCAUAUAGUCCUCGCUUUUUCCGACCGUAAGGUGGUCGGCGAAUAAGGGCUGGGCAAGACCGGUAGCCAGCCGCCGCGGUAAUACCGGCAGCCCAAGUGAGACCGAUAUUAUUGGGCCUAAAGCGUCCGUAGCCGGCCACGAAGGUUCAUCGGGAAAUCCGCCAGCUUAACUGGCGGGCGUCCGGUGAAAACCACGUGGCUUGGGACCGGAAGGCUCGAGGGGUACGUCCGGGGUAGGAGUGAAAUCCCGUAAUCCUGGACGGACCACCGAUGGCGAAAGCAACCUCGAGAAGACGGAUCCGACGGUGAGGACGAAAGCUAGGGUCUCGAACCGGAUUAGAUACCCGGGUAGUCCUAGCUGUAAACGAUGCUCGCUAGGUGUGGCACAGGCUACGAGCCUGUGCUGUGCCGUAGGGAAAGCCGAGAAGCGAGCCGCCUGGGAAGUACGUCGCAAGGAUGAAACUUAAAGGAAUUGGCGGGGGAGCACUACAACCGGAGGAGCCUGCGGUUUAAUUGGACUCAACGCCGGACAUCUCACCAGCUCCGACUAUAGUAAUGACGGCCAGGUUGAUGACCUUGCCACGACGCUAUAGAGAGGAGGUGCAUGGCCGCCGUCAGCUCGUA